GAGUGAAAAAGAACCUGAAACCGUGUACGUACAAGCAGUGGGAGCCCCACCACUAAGCCAGUGGUGAACUCCACAUACGCAUCCUUUGCUGAGGAUACGGUUAACGGAGCGAAAGCGACGUUCAACCGCAAAACAAGCAGAGGGGGCUUAGUGGUGGGGUGACUGCGUACCUUUUGUAUAAUGGGUCAGCGACUUAUAUUCUGUAGCAAGGUUAACCGUAUAGGGGAGCCGAAGGGAAACCGAGUCUUAAUUGGGCGUUAAGUUGCAGGGUAUAGACCCGAAACCCGGUGAUCUAGCCAUGGGCAGGUUGAAGGUUGGGUAACACUAACUGGAGGACCGAACCGACUAAUGUUGAAAAAUUAGCGGAUGACCUGUGGCUGGGGGUGAAAGGCCAAUCAAACCGGGAGAUAGCUGGUUCUCCCCGAAAGCUAUUUAGGUAGCGCCUCGUGAAUUCAUCUCCGGGGGUAGAGCACUGUUUCGGCUAGGGGGCCAUCCCGGCUUACCAACCCGAUGCAAACUGCGAAUACCGGAGAAUGUUAUCACGGGAGACACACGGCGGGUGCUAACGUCCGUCGUGAAGAGGGAAACAACCCAGACCGCCAGCUAAGGUCCCAAAGUCAUGGUUAAGUGGGAAACGAUGUGGGAAGGCCCAGACAGCCAGGAUGUUGGCUUAGAAGCAGCCAUCAUUUAAAGAAAGCGUAAUAGCUCACUGGUCGAGUCGGCCUGCGCGGAAGAUGUAACGGGGCUAAACCAU
rnacentral:rRNA from 1 species